rnacentral:pre_miRNA from 1 species
GUUUUCCCUAGAGUUCCCUUGAACGCUUCAUUGAGGGUUCUAUCAUCAUAUCAAAAGAUAAUCCAUACUGAAGUGUUUGGGGGAACUCCUGGUGAUAC